rnacentral:rRNA from 1 species
AUUGAACGCUGGCGGCAUGCCUUACACAUGCAAGUCGAACGGCAGCACGGGAGCAAUCCUGGUGGCGAGUGGCGAACGGGUGAGUAAUAUAUCGGAACGUGCCCAGUCGUGGGGGAUAACGUAGCGAAAGCUACGCUAAUACCGCAUACGAUCUACGGAUGAAAGCGGGGGGAUCGCAAGACCUCGCGCGAUUGGAGCGGCCGAUAUCAGAUUAGGUAGUUGGUGAGGUAAAGGCUCACCAAGCCGACGAUCUGUAGCUGGUCUGAGAGGACGACCAGCCACACUGGGACUGAGACACGGCCCAGACUCCUACGGGAGGCAGCAGUGGGGAAUUUUUGGACAAUGGGCGCAAGCCUGAUCCAGCAAUGCCGCGUGCAGGAUGAAGGCCU